ensembl:lncRNA
AGUAAUUAUAGCCAGGAUGGUGGUGACGACAGUUGUCCCAUCGAGACUUCAAAUGCUCGAAUAAAUUUGACAUUAUGACAUUUGACACCGGCUCCACUGGCGCGCCCACGUAAACAGUGAGGUGCGGGUAUAAAGACAGGGCACCCAGCUGGAUCAGAGAGCUGUUUACCUCUUUUGCGCAACGAACAUAACUUGGACAUGUGGAGGCUGGGGCCCCUUUAAAUCCAGUCCGCGGGGUUUUACGUAACAAGAAGGAGGAAAAACCGAGGGGAAACACGACAGAGGGGAGUUGACAGUUUGACCACUGGGCAAGCUUAUCAGGUGGAGAGAGCAAAGUGUGUGAUGUGGAAAAUGCAACUGGGGAUUUAUCACUGCGGAGCCUAAUAGAAUAAUACACAGAGCCAGAGUUUCCAGGUCAUUGAUCCCCUCACCCCCGACUGGCAAACCUACAGUGACCCCUGACAGCUCAGUGCAACAGGAGAAAGGGGAAAUUGGCAUUUUAGAAAGGCCCCCGAGGUGUCGUGUGGCCCUGCGUCAUGGCAGCCAUUGAUCUAGAGCGAGGGCUGGAGCACAGCGGAUGGGGACAGGAGAGGCCAGAGCUCAUGGACAAUUUUGAUUCAGAAAUGCAAGAAUGGGAAGACCAGCUGCAGGACAUACAGAGGAAGAUUGAAGAGUUGUACACUGAAGUUCAGGCUAGAAGAGGCACAAAUGAUGUUACCAGUGACAGCCAGAAGAACAGCAGCGAAAUAGACUGUGAACUGGGACGGAAUGGCAGCCUUUUUGCAACAGAUAAGACUCAUCAACAGUAUUCCAAUAGCUGCAAUGGCUACAGUCACCACAAUGGCUAUGGCUACUGUCAAAACAAUGGAAUUCAUGAGAUUGGAGACAUACUACAGGACUAUUUGGGACAGGGGAAGCCAGCAAGCCGGAAGAACAAUGGAGCGCGCCAUGUGCACUUCAGCGAUACAAUCAAAGUGAGCUCAGAUCUGCCCUUAUACCAAGAUGACAUCAAAACCAGAACUGGAAGUGCAAGAAAUGGCCAAGAGCAGUUUUUUGGAAGUUUUGUGGAGAAUGAAAACAAGAAGAAUCGUGUGACCCAGGUGAAAAGCAAAGAAGGUUUAACAAAUAAAGAAAAUGGAGGUGGAAAGCCCCCUUUUAAACAGCGAGAAACACAACCACGUCCAGGUGGGUCGGUCGAAUCUCCAGCUCUUGAGCGGAAGUGCUUUGGUCUAGGUGGGCUUGUAGACAUGAAGGGCAGUCCCUCAGUGCUGAGGAAGUUUGGAGCCAUGCUCCAUGAAAAUGAGGGCAAACUGCUCACUGAGAGCGGGGUGGUGUCGCCUCCAUCUCAGACCACAGAGCCAAAGUGUCCCACCCCCAGCUGUCAGCGCAAGGCUCUGGGGGGACGGAUGCCAGGACGUGUGCCUACACAGAAAUGCCAAGCUGAUUGUGACGUGCAGACAGCAGAGGCAGAGACCAGCCAAGAGAGACCCCCAGCAACAGACUGUGGGCGACAGAACCACAAGGAUCAGAGAGGAGGCUACAGCGCCCCCAAAGGCCAACCCAGUCCACAGCAGUCUCAGCGCAGGGCACAGGUGCAGGGCAGUCCCAAACCUCGGCCCCGGGCUCAAAGCGGAACAGACAAAGACAGAGCGAGGAGGACAGCUGUCCACCAGGGGGAGUUUAAAAUGGACCACACAGGUGUAAACGGGUCCCCAGUGGCUGUGAAGAAGAGAAUUGGGCUCAGGGAUGAAGGACUCAUCGAGCUACUGGACAUGCUGGACAUACAGCAUGAAUACUCCAAUGGCACAACAUACAGACAAGACACUGAGCCGGAUAGCACAGAUGUUCUCACUGCAAAGCCUAAGAGCUUUUCAAGGCCAGCUCGACCAGCCAAUCAAAGGCCUCCGUCCAGAUGGGCCAGCUGUACCCCUUCUGCAAGAAUCAGUACCCCAUCCGGCCCAAUGUACCGGCCGCCAAGCCCUCUCACCAGGACCCACAGUCCCCUGACCAGGCCUCCAAGUCCUGCACUCAAACACCGGAACUUCAUGCCCUAUUCUCUGCACACUGAGACCGUGAUCAUGUGAUACUCACCUCUCCUUCUGUAAAUAGUGACAGUAUGAACUGUUUUACAUAAUGCCAUGCCAAUGCCCCAACAACAUUCUCCAUUCAGGCUUUAUAUUUACCUUGUAUUACCUUUGUUCACACAUUCAUGAUGAUGGAUAUUCAGUUUUUAUUUUUCGUAUGUUCCAUGUGGUUUAGAUUGAAGCAUGUAGCCCUGUGGGGGUGCAUGCUCGUGUCAUGUCUUUAAUACUGACAUUUGCCUGCUGAAUUUAACAGCACAACAAACGGUGUGUUUACUGUAUAAUAUUGUAAUUGUAAUAUAAUUAUAUAUAAAAUGUUUAAGUGACGACUGUGAUAAAUUGAGGAAAAUAUAACUUAAAUUGUUUUUCUUGGUAAUUAACAUGUAAAUAAACAUGUGAUUUCACUUAA